rnacentral:rRNA from 1 species
UGGGGAAUAUUGCACAAUGGGCGAAAGCCUGAUGCAGCAACGCCGCGUGAGGGAUGACGGCCUUCGGGUUGUAAACCUCUUUUAGUAGGGAAGAAGCGAAAGUGACGGUACCUGCAGAAAAAGCACCGGCUAACUACGUGCCAGCAGCCGCGGUAAUACGUAGGGUGCAAGCGUUGUCCGGAAUUAUUGGGCGUAAAGAGCUCGUAGGCGGUUUGUCGCGUCUGCUGUGAAAUCCCGAGGCUCAGCCUCGGGUCUGCAGUGGGUACGGGCAGACUAGAGUGUGGUAGGGGAGAUUGGAAUUCCUGGUGUAGCGGUGGAAUGCGCAGAUAUCAGGAGGAACACCGAUGGCGAAGGCAGAUCUCUGGGCCAUUACUGACGCUGAGGAGCGAAAGCAUGGGGAGCGAACA